GUCUAUGGCCAUGCCACACUGAACAAGCCUGAUCCCAUCUGAUCUUGGAAGCUAAGCAGGGUUGGGGCUGGUUAGUACUUGGAUAGGAGACCACCUAAGAAGACCAGGUGCUGCAGGUG
rnacentral:rRNA from 1 species